GGAAAGGGGAAUUUGCAGAGCUGUUCUCAGAACAAUAGCUCUGAUGGUAUAAAAGGCAUGUUUGUGCAAGAAAAUUAAGUUAAAUUGCAGCUUACCAUCUCCAUUCGGAAUCUGUACUGAGGAAUCAGUACAUCUUUAAGAUCCAGUAAAUGGUUUGCUACAUUGACUAAAGGCCUGAGCUGAAGCUCACUGAAUUGUUUCAAAGGCUUGUGACACACUUUUGAUAUUGUCAAAUUAUCUGACUCCAUGGAAAAGCUUUGCAGUCGGACAAGAUGACUCCUGGAUCUGCACAUCAUGAAAGAAAAUGCUAUGAAAUUUUUUUCAAGGGGAAUAGGUGCUAUUCAUUGUUUAGAUAAGCACUUCCUACUAGCUUAGCCUGGCUGACAUUUCAGGAUGAACUUGUUCUAUGUUCUGCUUCUUUACAAUUCAUGUGCCGCUCUUUCAAUAUCCUUCCUCUAGCAAGAAAUCUCCCUGCUCCAUCCUAAAAUGUCAUGCUUUCUACUAAGCUACACCGUUUUCAAGUACUCAAAUCUCAUCACAGCUGUGAUGCCAUAGACUGAUUGCCCAUGGCAUGUUAUUCUCUUCGUACAGAUUGUUUUCCAGUAUAUGAUGUAAGGCUAUAUAAGAGUUUCCCCUGUAUGUAUUUGAAAUAUAAAGCCUGAAAGUGUUGGUGUUGCCUUCCGUGCUCACAAAGAUGGACAAAGCGGUGGUUCAGCAAAAUGGUGGUUCAGUGUUGUCACAUGCAAGGAUGAUUGCUAAAUGAGGAUGCAGGCCUAUCUAAAUUUGUGUCAUUCAUAAACUUCUAAAUGAUGUUUGUUUCUGCAAAUGGGUUUCCCUAGGGUGUUACUGCACUAGGUUAUAGAAUGAAUAUAACCAUCUGCAAUUAAAAUACAUGGUAUUUUCAGUUGUUUAUUGUAGUGUUAUCUCCUAGGCUUUAUACUCGGUUUAGGAACCAAUAAUUUGUUUAUCUCCCUAUUUAUUGGUUCAUUUAAUAGUUGACAAUAGAAACAUCUUAUCAGUCAAAUCUAGUCAAAUAAUUUCUAGUCUGACAAUACCAGGAGAGCUAAGUACUCUCAUAUCAAUACAGAAUUACCGUUAUUGAUACCAUUACUGACUGCAGAAUGAUUCUCAUGAAAAUUAAGAUAUUCACAUUGUGGCUUUUGAGUGCUUGAUUUCACAUCAAAUAUUGCCGAAAAAUGUUAUGUACCUGAUAUGUGCCUGUGAAAAUACCAAAGACAGCAACAAUAAUUCUGGACUGUGUUCUCAAGUUCCUACAACUUCUGGAAAAAUAAGGAAAAUGUUACUUAUGUUGUUCUCUCCUCAUUGAUAUCUCAGAAAUAACAGAGCAAAUUUAUAGUAAUAGUAACAAGAUGAGAAAUUAUUUAUAUUACUUGUACAUGUUGCAUGUAGACUCCUGUUCACUAUACAUUGAAGCAGGCUCAGAUUUAUGCUUUAUAAUACCCAGUUUAAUCAUCUAAACUGUUGUAGCUGUAAUGGAAUAAAGCACUAAAUUUUGAGUAUUGGAACUGAUGACACAUUUCCUUGUUAAUUGGCUGCAUCUGGAGUAGAGGACUUGAUGAAACUGAGUACAUACAGCUGUUUUUAGCAAGUCUGACAUAUUUAACUUCUAAAAUGUAUCACUUCAGUAAGAGACUUAGGGAGUGAACUAAAGCCAGGAAGCUUUUGUAUGUUAAGUCAUGGUCAAAUAGGUAAGACAAAAUUCCUGGCACCAGAAGGCAGACAUGGAAGUCUGAAAGAAAAGCUAUUGUAUGUGAUUGUUUUUUAUUAAGUGGAAUUAUUUUGAUAAUUAAGCCAUUAUUUACUCUUCUUUUUGGGUAUGUCUGAGAAAACUGAUUAGGCAAAUACUGUUGAUGAUUUGUUUAACAAUUUUUAAAAGGUUUAAGUCAUCAAAAACAGAUUGGUCUACAAUAUAUGGCUGUAAACUGCAUUUGUUAAAGACUUCCACGUUUCAUAAUAAAAUGACACUAGAAGUGGAAAAGAUAAGAUGAUCUACUUUGGAUUGUAAGUCUGAGAGCCAUUCUUCAGCUAAGGGAUGCUGUUAGUUAAUUCAGAAGUAAAUGAAUUUCUGAUCUCUUGGGUUUAGGAAUUCAAGACAGUCAAAUAUGAUGUGCACUUGCUACGUGAUUCCUUCAGAAGGCAAGAUUUAAGUUCAAAGCAAUACUGAAAUGGCAUGGUAGUUGAAAUCAUGCAAGUUCCUCAGAUAUUUCCCAAAAAUAUUUUCUUUGAAGGAAAAACAUGUUCAUUGGA